GGCUCUAGAACGCAAGAGCUCAGUAACUGAGUUCCCCAGGCUCUGGAGCACAGGUUCAAUAGUUGUGCAGCACCAGCUUAGUUGCUCCACAGCAUGUGAGAUCGUCUCAGAUCAGGAACUGAACCCAUGUCUCUUGCAUUGGCAGACAGUUUCUUUACCACUGAGCCACCAGGGAAGUCCAGUAGUUUUUCUUUUCAGAUGCAUACAUACCUAUACUCUGUAUGUUGUCUAUUCUGAAUCUUCAGAAGAUUAUAAAUUCUACAAACCACAUACGAGAGAAGAAAUCCAACAUAAGGUAUGACUGAUCGCAACAUGAUCCACUUGUUGCAUGUGUGUCUGUGCUUAGUCACUCAGUCUUUGCGACUCCACAGACUGUAGCGCUCCAGGCUCCUCUGUCCGUGGGGAUUCUCCAGGCUAGAAUACUGGAGUGGUUUGCCAGGCCCUCCUCCCGGUGAUCUUCCCAACCCAGAAACUGAACCCAGGUCUCCUGCAUUGCAGGUGGAUUCUUUACCAUCUGAGCCACCAGGGAAGCCCGAAACUGUUCCAUGGUCUCUAACCAAAAAAUAAGUGUGACUUUGGCACAAGUUGAUCUUUCUUUAAAGAAAGAGUAGAAUAAGAACUUUGGGCCUUUUACUGAAAGACUAUGUGGUUACUUCCUCUUUAGUGACACUACCAUCCAAACCUACUUGAAUGGAAUUAUUCUAAUUGUAUUUUUGUAGAUAACCAGUGCAAACAAAAAAUAAAUAUGGUACUUGUGGCUGUCAGAAAGUGAAUGUGUUGAGUGACCAGCUCAUCUUAAAAGCUACAUUAUGAAGUGUUAUAUAGUAUAUACUUAAAAGAAUAACUUGCAGCUUCAAAGAUAGAGUGGCACAGGUGGCUGAAAAAUCUGUUUAUUACUUCAGGGUGAAGAAAAGAUUGAACAUUUUCCUGCCUUCAUUCCUUCCUUCCUUCCUCCCUAAAUUCAUCCUACAUGCUGAUCAUUAUGGUAGGCACUAAGGGUAUCAAGUAGGAUAAAGACAUGAGCCCUUCUUUAAAAGAGAGACACAAUUAGAAACAAAUGAUGAGAAAAUAAUCUAAAUGUAAAGUUUGUGCCAGGUAUAGCAGCAACACAGAAAAAGAAAAAAAAAAUUGUUAACAGUUUUAUCCUUUAGAGCCUUUGCUAGUCUAGUUUUUCUAUAAAUUACUAUAAAAGAUCAUUCACCAGACAAAACCAAGAAAAAAAAAAAAAACUGAAGAAAAGCAUAUAGCAUUGUAGGAGAAGGCAAGAAUACUGGAGUAGGUUGCCAUUUCCUCCUCCAGGGAACUAUCCUGACCCAGCGACUUUAAUUCUCAAAAAAAGAAAAAAAAAAUAAAAAGGAGAAAGUAAGGAUUGGAGGGAGGGAGAAAAGAAAUCUAUUUAUAUUUCAACUCAAAAUUGUAUGCUUCCUGAAGAUGUUCCUCUUGCUAGGUAACUGAGACACCUUGAGCAAAUAGAAAAUGGCAUACAUGGCCCUAAACUUCACUUAAAAUGACUGUAUUUAUUAUUUAUAUUUUUAUCCUCACUUUUGCUGUAGCUGCUAUGAAUGGCUUAGAAAAUGCAAAUAUGCUAAGCAAGAAACACAGCCCAUACCUGAAGAGUUAGCAGUUGAAAGGCACAAAGAGGUAGAAUGGAUUUAAAAGCCUCUUGAAGAACAGCCUUUUGCUGCAUAGAUGCCAGGCAAGACAGUAUGUGGCAGGAAAAGAGUUGGGGAAACUGCUUUAAAAACCUAUUAACUAGGAAUGUGAAAAAGCAGGGAACAAUUGGGAAAGGAGGGAGGUGCUCACUGCUUAAAAGGCUUUUAAAUGUGACUAUAUUUUUGUUGGCUUUUUGCCUGCAACAUAAAAUGAGGAUGGUAUACGGAAUAGCUAGAUGGCUGCUGAAGGUGGAAUGAAUGGAAGCUAGGCUAGGGAGUCAAGGCCAAAUUUUGAGAUGCCACUAUGGACUGUGUGCAGCUGUCAAGACCACUGUCAGCAAUGGCUUAGUGAAGUAAACACAAAAUUCAGUCAGCUGGUUCAAUCACCCUUUCAUUCUUGUGGUUUUCUUGAUCCCAUAAAUAUUUCCCUAUGCAGUCUUUGCAGCAGAUAACAAGGAGUUAACAAAUUAGCCAGCCAAACAGGCAGGAAUGGAGAAAAGCCACAGAACUUAGAAUUGAACAGCUGACAGCAGAUUCUGCAGGUGUGAGAUGAGAAUCAGCUCUGCAUUUUCCAUGUAGCACAAUUUCCUCUGUCUGGGCUGUGGCCUGAUUUUCUGGCCCCUUCAGGACAAGCUGAGUUAUAAAGGGGAGAAUUCCAGAGGGCUUUGUUCUAUGAUCUUAUGAACUCUAACUUACUUUAGAAAGGAAGCAAUCUCCUAUGUUUAGACUGAUAAUAUUAUACGUUGUAAGAUUUUAGUUUUAUAUUAGGAAGGAAAAUACUCUAGCUGCCAUCCUACUUAAAUAAGAAAUAGUGGAUUAAACUGCAUAGCACGAUGAAUCAUUCUCUGCAACUGGGAGUCAAGGAGCAGCACGCACACACACACACACACGCACACGCACGUGUAAGAAAGGGGAUCACUACUUGCAAUGAAUAUGUAAACAUCACAACAAAUAGUAAGGUCAUAACAAAGUAGGUGGAAAGGAAAGAAAUGGACUGCAUUAAAGUGUAUCUUUCUAAUGUACUACUUUCUAAUAUUCUCCUAAUCAUUCCAUUUGCUGGUAAUGGACAUUCAAGGCUAAACUCCACACUGCAGCAGUUCUAAAUCUUUUUGACUAAUAGUGGUAAAAUACACACACACACAUAUACAUAUAUACGCUAAUGACAUAACACAUUAAAGUGUUCAAUAUGAUGCCUUGCUUAACAAAACAUUGCACUGUUUCUUUCUGGCCAGAAAACACUUUCUACAAAAGUGAUUGUGACUGAUCAGAUUGAUAAUUAAAGAACUAAUUUCUCUUUACACUGGUGAAUAUGGCCUACCAAUCCAAACCCUUUUGACCAAACUCUGCUUUUGGAAUAAGAAUAGAAAAACUCAGCAAGCUCAGGUUUUUUUUCCAGAUAGACUCUGGGAAGGACAGGUAAAUACCUUCAGUUAUCAACGUUCAGAAGUUGAUACCUACUAUUAAAUCUCAUUUUGGAUCUUCUCUUUCUCUAAAACUUACUUCAUGUCCCUAAAAUCGUAUGUUUCUAAUUUCUUCUUCUAAAACAUAAGAUCCUAUGAUUUACACCAUAAAAGAUUAGCUGCUUUCAGAUACACUGCCCUUACUGAGCUCUGAAAGUCUCCCCAAUCCAAAAAUACAUUCCUUUUUUUGUGAAGGUAUAAAAUUUUAUCAUUAGAGAUUUUAAUAUUUAGGGAAGUCAUUGUCCCUUCCCUAAAUGACAGAUUCAAUUUCAAAAAAACAAAAAAUAAAGCAAACAUAAAAAUAAAAAACUAUGUGUACUACAAACGUAAUUUUUAAUUAUCUAUGGGCCAAAGAUCAGAAAGGAAUACAGAAAUUUUAAGUUAUUUACAUUGUUAGGUUGGUUGUAUUAUAGAGGACAGUUUCCUUUUAAACUUUCCUUUUAAUGUGUUUUUAAUAAAUAUCAGUAAGGAAAAAUUAAUAUCACUUUUGAAGACCAGUUCUGCUUGAUUGCUGCACCUAACUGUUGGAGCCUAAAAAAUAAAUACAUAAAAUUUAAAAAUAAAAAACAUAAGAUUAGUCUCAAUUAUAUACAACUAGAUGUGGGGAGAAAAACAUAAAGCAACAAAUAUUCAUUUAGGAUUUAAUGUAUAUUUAUUACGGGAAAGACAUCAAUGAGUGAUAACAGAGAUACAAAAAUGACUCUAAGAUCUCUGCCCACCUUCUCCUUCAGUAACCAGCAACUUUGAAGAAAGAACACAAUAUUAUUACCAGUCAUUAGUAUAUUAGGUUGAAUCUAUUGGCCAUUUGUUUCAGAUUUUGAAAAGCGGAAUGGUAGGGUAAAGCUGGGAUAUUACCUAGGAAAGAUCAGCCAGGAUUAAGAUACUUAAUGAAGGAAGAUGAGGGCAGUGGGCUCAAACAGAGGAAGCGACAGCAACAAAAGAGGGAAGAUGAGAGCAUGCUGACAGCCUAGUCUCUAUUUCAGAGGGUUGAUCAGAGUUAGCUGUGACUUUGAGCAAAUAAUUUUCAACAUAUAAAAUGGACCCUGAAAAUGUAUUAUUCCUAUCAUUCAAGGAGCACCAAGUAAUUAAGGAGGGAUGUUUAAACACAAAUAUACGUUUAUAUUCACAAUAUAAACUCUGAAAUCAUGUGUAUUUCACUUAAACCACCACUGUAGUGAAGACUCUUUUAAUCCAAUCAUUUUGAAGCUCAUUCUGAUAUCGGAUGUUGCAGAUAUCCUUGUUCUACUAUUCUGUCCCAAAUGUUCAAAACAUGAUGGGAAAAAAAGUAAUAUCCUUAAGGAGUGGAAUUCAUCAUUAAAAAUAAAGUAUUUUCCAAGUUGUUUGGGAUAUGGGUUACUUUCUCUCUUUCUCUCAUUCCAGGCAUCAAACUAUAUUGACUUUUCCUCAAUGAUAAAGAAAUACGGCAUUAAGAAGGGUCAAGUGAACUCACCUUUAGAGACCUCAAAACAAUACUACUAACCAAUUGUUUCUAAAUGUUUCUCUCUCCAAGACUAAGUUCUUACAGCUGAUAACUCUCUUUAGGAAGUGCUGACACUCACAAGGCCCUAAAUUUUCAUUUGGUCCCUAAUACUCUAUUUGGUAAUCAAUAUCCUCUUUCACUCUUCCCAGAAACUCCAUAAGCCUUAUUCUUCAUCAGUAUCACAUUUUUCUUUUCAUGGUCUUUUAUUUUUAAUCCUUCCUUUUGGGCCAACUUGUCUGCCUUUUAUAUCUAUAUUUAUUUUCCCUUUUCUCAUUUGACCCUUUUCAGACCUUUAGAUUAUAAACGCUGACAUUUGUGACUCAUUUUUGCCAAGGCAGCCUUUCAUGAAUAAAAUUUCCCUCCUCCACAAGACUAAGUAAGCAUAAUUUUAAGCAUCCACAACUACUGUCCAAAUAGAGAUUCACUUCAUUUGAUUCAUGUGCUAAAUCAAACGUAUUUAAGAAUAUGAUUUUCUACUCCUGUUCCUUUUCAAUAUUUUCUCUGUGUCUCCUUUAUUAAACCUUUUUAUUGCCAUGUGGAAACUUUAGCUAUCCAUGGUCUAGUGUGAACUGUACAUAGGACCGUGAUAAUGACCUUCUGACCCUACAGUUCUUCCUGGCUGUGGGUAGAAUUGAUAGCACUUUUUCAAUUUCUCCCUUGUCUUUGCUUGAACAUACUGGAAUUACAGCCUCUGACAGAGGCAACAUCCCUUUUGUAGUGGAAACAAAAGGAGUGUGUAAUGAAUUGGUGAAGAUUACACUGCAUGUUUAGAUGAUGAAAUCCAACUGCAGCUCAAUUCCUUCAUUUUCUCUAGCUGGGCCCGGUCUUUCAACAAGACAUUAUUGACUGGCAUCUUCCCCAGAACAGGUGACUCGGAAUACAGUCUUGCUGCUUCGAGUUCUUUAGACUGAACACAACCACUGCGCAGGUCAAGGGAAUCAGAUAUGAGACAAUAAUUCCCAGUAUCUUAGGAUGAGCACUGUAGAUGAUCCACACCCAGGUGGCAUUAAAAGAAUGAAUAGUCCUUGAAUUUAUAUGAUGUGCCAACCCUUCCAAAUUAACUUUAGUUACCAAGAUGGCAAGAUGUG
ensembl:lncRNA